UGUGCCCUUGAGGCGUGGCUUCCGGAGCUAACGCGUUAAGUCGACCGCCUGGGGAGUACGGCCGCAAGGUUAAAACUCAAAUGAAUUGACGGGGGCCCGCACAAGCGGUGGAGCAUGUGGUUUAAUUCGAUGCAACGCGAAGAACCUUACCUACUCUUGACAUCCAGAGAACUUUCCAGAGAUGGAUUGGUGCCUUCGGGAACUCUGAGACAGGUGCUGCAUGGCUGUCGUCAGCUCGUGUUGUGAAAUGUUGGGUUAAGUCCCGCAACGAGCGCAACCCUUAUCCUUUGUUGCCAGCGGUCCGGCCGGGAACUCAAAGGAGACUGCCAGUGAUAAACUGGAGGAAGGUGGGGAUGACGUCAAGUCAUCAUGGCCCUUACGAGUAGGGCUACACACGUGCUACAAUGGCGCAUACAAAGAGAAGCGAACUCGCGAGAGCAAGCGGACCUCAUAAAGUGCGUCGUAGUCCGGAUUGGAGUCUGCAACUCGACUCCAUGAAGUCGGAAUCGCUAGUAAUCGUAGAUCAGAAUGCUACGGUGAAUACGUUCCCGGGCCUUGCACUCACCCGCCCGUC
rnacentral:rRNA from 1 species